AUCCAGUUGAAGAGUCUGAAGCAGGACGAAACGCGCAUCAUGGAU
rnacentral:hammerhead_ribozyme from 1 species